CUCCCUCAUCUGUCUGCCCC
rnacentral:miRNA from 1 species